rnacentral:lncRNA from 1 species
GGCCCAGUCAAAAUAUUGCAAGACAACCCAGAGAACACCCAUCUACUGCUUCCCUGAUCACGGCUCACCCAGGAGGCAUGGGAAGUACUGGUUGGCUACUAGAGAGGUCGGACCCUCUGACAAAAUAUGAAUGAACUGGCACAAUGACGGCACUGGGUUUGGUCCAGAGAGGCUCCAUUUCCUCUGCAACAGACCGUCAGGAAAGCAGAAGCACAGUGCUUCUGAAAUUGUUUGGGAAAUCAUCUGAUUGAAGGUCAGCUUCAGAGGAUUUGUGACUAUCGCCUGCUAUGGAUUCUUUUUCCACUUGGAAAUGAGCCCAGGGUGUCCAAUGUUAGUCAAGGAUGUCUGGGGCGUUUGUGGCUCUAACAAAAGUAUACAAUAUAAUGCUGUAGCCCCUGAUGAUUUCAUGCUAUUGGUCCUUACUCCCAAUCCAUUGCCAAGAUAUUGGUGCGUGGGAUAAAGAUGGACAGAAUUUUCAGGCUGGAAACAUUUUUAGCAGGUGGAAGAAACCAAUAAGAAGGUUCAACGGCUGAGAUGGCGACGCAGCAAAGCACUGUGGAGUGCUCAGGGCGUGUUGGAGCACAAAGGACAACAUGGCCAUCCAAUGCAGCUGAGGAAGUCUCCAGGUGUAACGACUUUUCGUGCCACUGGACCCAGGCUUCCAACGCCGAGAGAGUGGGACUGUCUCUGUGCAUCGACUUUUCCACUUAAAUCUUCAUGCAUAAGUGUCUUUGUGCACAAAAAUGCACAAAGACAAUUGUCAUCCUCGGUUACCGAGAGACUACUACUACUAUAAAUAUAAGAUCUUCAAAUAAUAUCAAUAAACAUAUUUAUUAUAUCUAUUACUUAUAUAUAAACAUAAUAUCUUCAAAUAAUGUAAAUAAACAUAUUAUAUCUAUUACUUAUUAUAUAUAAAGACAAUAUAUUCAAAUGAUAUAAAUAAACAUAUUUAUUACAUCUAUUACUUAUUAUGU